GAUGAACGCUGGCGGCGUGCCUAAUACAUGCAAGUCGAGCGAACAGACGAGGAGCUUGCUCCUCUGACGUUAGCGGCGGACGGGUGAGUAACACGUGGAUAACCUACCUAUAAGACUGGGAUAACUUCGGGAAACCGGCGCUAAUACCGGAUAAUAUAUUGAACCGCAUGGUUCAAUAGUGAAAGACGGUUUUGCUGUCACUUAUAGAUGGAUCCGCGCCGCAUUAGCUAGUUGGUAAGGUAACGGCUUACCAAGGCAACGAUGCGUAGCCGACCUGAGAGGGUGAUCGGCCACACUGGAGCUGAGACACGGUCCAGACUCCUGCGAGAGGCAGCAGUAGGGAAUGUUCCGCAAUGGGCGAAAGCCUGACGGAGCAACGCCGCGUGAGUGAUGAAGGUCUUCGGAUCGUAAAACUCUGUUAUUAGGGAAGAACAAAUGUGUAAGUAACUAUGCACGUCUUGACGGUACCUAAUCAGAAAGCCACGGCUAACUACGUG
rnacentral:rRNA from 1 species